GUGUGGUUUUAUGUGAGAUUCCUGUACGACAACUUGGCUUUGACAGCCCAACGGAACGCACUGAACAUAAAAACAGACCACUGGACAACGAGAGCUUUUGCACAUGCGCACGCACAGGAAAAAAAUGAACCAGUUUCGGCCUCACUUAGCCGCAUUUGCACAGCACUUAAAGUGAGAAGAACAAAAAUCAUCACAGUAUUACUAUAGUUUUUUUCAUUUUUUUGUAAACAAAAACCUAAUAUCAUUAACGUCACUGCGCCUGAGUGUAUGUUCACUAUAUAAUGGCAAAGACUCAUGAGCUGUUCUCUCAAAGGAGAAACAAACUUUCACUGUUUUUGUGCUGGUGACAGAAUGUAAAGACAUUCCAAUGGCGACUUGUUAUUCCAACCAGACACCUUGCCCUCCUGGAUGGCGCCAAUGUCCGUAUCCCUGCUCCACUUUAUCCAUGACAUGCUGUUGUGACAUGACACGAUAGGUGAAGAAGCGUUUUAUGGCUGUUGCGGAAGAAGGGAAACAUUUGCUUGGUCGUAAAGUCGUAUCAGACAACGCUCAAAAGAGAACAUCUCACGCAAACAGUCUUUUAUCCGCAUUGGAUGGCAGCAAGAAAAUGUCUCCAGGAACUAGAAAAUUGAGGUUUCAGAUGAUGGAAAUGAGUAGAUGCUGACUUCCCUGUUUUGAUUAACACACAGCUGUGGUAAAAAUAAAGCGUUAAAUCAUUUAAA